rnacentral:snRNA from 1 species
GUGCUUGUUUCAGCAGCACAUAUAGCAACAUUUUAAUGAUAUGGAGAAGAUUAGCAUGGCUCCUAUGCAAGGACAACACAUAAAUCCAUCAAGUAUUCCAUAUUUUU